CCACCACCACCACCACUCUCCAUUUCCAGAUAUUUCCAUCAUCCUGAACAGAAGCUCUGAGCUCAUUAAGCAAGAGCUACUCCAUCUCUUUAGCUCCUGGCAAUGACCUCUGCACUUUCUGUCCCUUUGGCUUUGUCUAUUUGGCUCCCAGUGUAAGUGACAUCAUACGUUGUUUAGGUGACAGCAUACACUGUCUAGGUGACAUCAUACAGUUUGUCUAGGUGACAUCAUACAGUUUGUCUAGGUGACAUACAGUUUGUCUAGGUGACAUCAUAUACUGUGUAGGUGACAUCAUACACUAGGUGACAUCAUACACUAUCUAGGUGACAUCAUACACUAUCUAGGUGACAUCAUACACUAUCUAGGUGACAUCAUACACUAUCUAGGUGACAUCAUACACUAUCUAGGUGACAUCAUACACUAUCUAGGUGACAUCAUAUACCAUGUAGGUGACAUCAUACACUAUCUAGGUGACAUCAUACACUAUCUAGGUGACAUCAUACACUGUGUAGGUGACAUCAUACACUAGGUGACAUCAUACACUGUCUUCUGUUGUGCUUUGCUUGUUUCACUUAGCAUCAUGUUUUCAAGUGUAAAUUUUAAAAGAUUUAUUUUUAAUUAUUAUUUUCAGGUAUGUACGUGUGGGUGCCCAUGUGUUAUGAACUGCCUGGAGCAGGUGUGGGGAUUUGAACUCAGAUCCUCAUGCUUGCACAACACACACUGACUGAGUCACCUCUCCAGGAUCGAUCCCACAGAGCUUAUGAAUGUGUUUAAUGCCACUGAAAUGUAUGUUUAGCACUGAUGAAAAUGGAUUAUUUAUAUUAUGCCAUAAUUUAAAAAGUGCUUACUGAAAAAAAAACCAACAUAAAUAGUAAAUGAACUCAAGAGAGAUUAGAAAACAGGAGCGGGACAGACACAGUGGUUAAGAGCAUUUGCCGCUCUUCCAGAGAACCUGAGUUCCCAGUACCCACAUCAGACUUCUCUCAACAUCAGCUCCAAGCAUUCUCACUCUCAUAAGUAAAAGUUAAAAAAUAAAGUCGCAAAAUAAAAUAAUUAUUCUUAAGAGAAAUGGCUCAACAGUUAAGAGCAUUUGGUGCUCUUGUAGAGGACCAGGUUCGAUUUCCAGUACCCACAUAACGUUCACAAUCACCCCUAACUCUAGUUCCAGGGGAUCGAACACCUUCCUCUGAAUUCUGUGGUGCACAUACACAUUCAGACAAAACACUCAUAGACAUAAAGUAAAAUUAAUCUAAGAAACUUUAAAAAUAGUUAUAGUUGCCCAAACUAUUUUCCACUUCAAUAGAAUAAACAAAAAGCCAGACAAUGGUGGUUUGCAUGCACGUGCAUUUGAUCCCAGCACUCUGGAGGCAGAAGCAAGUGGAUAUCAGAGUUCGAGGCCAGCCUGGUCUACAGAGCAAGUUCCAGGACAGCCAGGGCUACACAGAGGAAACCUUGUCUGGAAAAUAGAGUGAACGUGUCAGUGAAGACUGAGAAAAGACAGAAGAGACUCCCUUUCUGAGGUAGUGUGGUACCAACUUCCCAUGCCCGCCUUCGACAUAACCACAGGUGGUCCUUUCUUGUUACUCCUCGGUCACUUUUCCCAGCACAAAUGCAUGAUGUGAAUGUCAACUUUGUGCAAGUGUGAGAGCUUACUUGCUUUUUCUCCUGUUAAAGAAACUGUGUGUUUCCCUGCCAGGCUGUUCCAUGCUCAGAUCCCGAGGUCUGGUGUUCUCGUUGUUGGAAUGCACAGUCCGUGAAGCUGCGUGAGGAGUUCUCUGAGACCCUGUGAGAAAAUUCCAAGUGAACAAGACAAGAGUCCCGUGAUCUCUGUUCCUUCACAACAUGGGGUUUUCUUGGAAUGUGUUCUCCAGCGCUUCCCGUAUGGCGGUUAGGAAUUCACUGCAACUGUCGUUAUUCAUAUCCCCCUAUGGAAAAACAUGCUUUUGCCACAUACGGCUUGUUCUGGAUUUUACGCUUUCCUCUCGUGGGUGACUUCUCUUGACCCUCAGAGUAUGAAUGGUCCUAUGCUCACAAUAAAGUUGGCUAUUGCUUGA
rnacentral:sRNA from 1 species